rnacentral:lncRNA from 1 species
CCCACGUACUCCUUAACUCUAGAAUCAAUGGUUUCUUUUAACAGCAAACAAACUCCCUCUUUCUUCUUUUCAGAAAACCAACUGGAGUCUCUGUUUGAACCUUGUGGCAAUACAUGAAGAUCCACCAGGACUGCGAAGUUCCCACAUUUAACGGCAAAUUUCUUAGAUGCCAUGGUUUACUGAUUCCUAAGUGAGGUACAAAACCGGAUCCGGCACUGAAUUGGAGACUCCCGACUUCUG